GACGAACGCUGGCGGCGUGCUUAACACAUGCAAGUCGAACGGAGCGAAUGAAAGCUUGCUUUUAUAAGCUUAGUGGCAAACGGGUGAGUAACACGUAGGCAACCUGCCGACAGGAUGGGGACAACAUUCCGAAAGGAAUGCUAAUACCGAAUGAAGUCAGAGAAGGGCAUCCUUUUCUGAUGAAAGAUGGCCUCUGAAUAUGCUAUCACCUGUCGAUGGGCCUGCGUCUGAUUAGCUGGUAGGUGAGGUAACGGCUCACCUAGGCGACGAUCAGUAGCCGGUCUGAGAGGAUGAACGGCCACAUUGGGACUGAGACACGGCCCAGACUCCUACGGGAGGCAGCAGUGGGGAAUCUUCCGCAAUGGGCGCAAGCCUGACGGAGCAACGCCGCGUGAGUGAAGAAGGUCUUCGGAUCGUAAAGCUCUGUUGAUGGGGACGAACGUGCCUAAUGCGAAUAGUUUUAGGCAAUGACG
rnacentral:rRNA from 1 species